rnacentral:rRNA from 1 species
UACGGGAGGCAGCAGUGGGGAAUCUUAGACAAUGGGCGCAAGCCUGAUCUAGCCAUGCCGCGUGUGUGAUGAAGGUCUUAGGAUCGUAAAGCACUUUCGCCAGGGAUGAUAAUGACAGUACCUGGUAAAGAAACCCUGGCUAACUCCGUGCCAGCAGCCGCGGUAAU